rnacentral:rRNA from 1 species
UACGUAGGUGGCGAGCGUUGUCCGGAUUUACUGGGCGUAAAGAGCGCGCAGGCGGUCGUGCAAGUCGCGUGUGAAAGCCCCCGGCUCAACCGGGGGAGGCCGUCGGGGACCUUCGGGCUGGAGGCCGGCAGGGGGGAGUGGAAUUCCCGGUGUAGUGGUGGAAUUCGUAGAUAUUCGGAAGAACACCAGUGGCGAAGGCGACUCACUGGACAUGUAUUGACGCUGAGGUGCGAAAGCGUGGGGAGCAAACAGG